UGGAGGAAAAGGUAGGGGAUCGCAAGACCUUGCGCUUUUGGAGCGGCCGAUGUCUGAUUAGCUAGUUGGUGAGGUAAAGGCUUACCAAGGCGWCGAUCAGUAGCUGGUCUGAGAGGACGACCAGCCACACUGGGACUGAGACACGGCCCAGACUCCUACGGGAGGCAGCAGUGGGGAAUUUUGGACAAUGGGGGAAACCCUGAUCCAGCCAUGCCGCGUGAGUGAAGAAGGCCUUCGGGUUGUAAAGCUCUUUCAGCCGGAACGAAACGGUCACGGCUAAUACCUGUGAYCACUGACGGUACCGGAAGAAGAAGCACCGGCUAACUACGUGCCAGCAGCCGCGGUAAUACGUAGGGUGCGAGCGUUAAUCGGAAUUACUGGGCGUAAAGCGUGCGCAGGCGGUUUUGUAAGUCAGAUGUGAAAUCCCCGGGCUYAACCUGGGAACUGCGUUUGAAACUACCAAAGCUAGA
rnacentral:rRNA from 1 species